UACGUAGGAGGCAAGCGUUGUCCGGAAUUACUGGGCGUAAAGCGUGUGUAGGUGGUGGGACAAGUCUGCUGUGAAAGUGCCUGGCUUAACCGGGCGAGGUCGGCGGAAACUGUCCGACUCGAGGACGGUAGAGGGGGGUGGAAUUCCCGGUGUAGUGGUGAAAUGCGUAGAGAUCGGGAGGAACACCUGUGGCGAAGGCGGCCCCCUGGGCCGGCCCUGACACUGAGACGCGAAGGCGUGGGGAGCGAACGGG
rnacentral:rRNA from 1 species